GACGAACGCUGGCGGCGUGCUUAACACAUGCAAGUCGAACGAUGAAGCUGGAGCUUGCUCCGGUGGAUUAGUGGCGAACGGGUGAGUAACACGUGAGCAAUCUGCCCUUGACUCUGGGAUAACUGCGGGCAACUGUAGCUAAUACCGGAUACGAGGCUCGAAGGCAUCUUCGGGUCUGGAAAGAAUUUCGGUCAAGGAUGAGCUCGCGGCCUAUCAGCUUGUUGGUGAGGUAAUGGCUCACCAAGGCGACGACGGGUAGCCGGCCUGAGAGGGUGACCGGCCACACUGGGACUGAGACACGGCCCAGACUCCUACGGGAGGCAGCAGUGGGGAAUAUUGCACAAUGGGCGAAAGCCUGAUGCAGCAACGCCGCGUGAGGGAUGAAGGCCUUCGUGUUGUAAACCUCUUUUAGCAGGGAAGAAGCGAAAGUGACGGUACCUGCAGAAAAAGCACCGGCUAACUACGUGCCAGCCGCCGCAGUAA
rnacentral:rRNA from 1 species